GUACGGGAGGCAGCAGUGAGGAAUCUUGCACAAUGGGGGAAACCCUGAUGCAGCGACGCCGCGUGAGCGAUGAAGCCCUUCGGGGUGUAAAGCUCUUUCGGCAGGGAAGAUUAUGACGGUACCUGCAGAAGCAGCUGCGGCUAACUACGUGCCAGCAGCCGCGGUAAUACGUAGGCAGCAAGCGUUGUUCGGAGUUACUGGGCGUAAAGGGUGUGUAGGCGGCCUGUUAAGUUCCGUGUGAAAUCUCCCGGCUCAACCGGGAGGGUGCGCGGAAAACUGGGGGGCUAGAGCACGGGAUGGGAGAGUAGAAUUCCUGGUGUAGCGGUGAAAUGCGUAGAUAUCAGGAGGAAUACCGGUGGUGUAGACGGCUCUCUGGACCGUAACUGACGCUGAGACACGAAAGCGUGGGUAGCAAACAGGAUUAGAUACCCCAGUAU
rnacentral:rRNA from 1 species